ensembl:snoRNA
UGUGAGAGUGAUGAGUUGCACUCUGAAUGGGACAGUAAUGCAGUGACAUGGCUGUUUCAUUCUGAACCCUGAUGACUAAACAUGUGCACAGGGGCCAUCUGACUCGCA